rnacentral:rRNA from 1 species
GAUGAACGCUAGCGGCAGGCCUAAUACAUGCAAGUCGAACGGAUAUAUGUUUUUCGGAAUAUAUAUUAGUGGCGCACGGGUGAGUAACACGUACAUAACUUGCCCUCAAGCGGGGGAUAGCCUUGGGAAACUGAGAGUAAUACCCCAUAGAAUUAUUGGACGGCAUCGUUUGAUAAUUAAAACUACGGUGCUUGGGGAUAGAUGUGCGUCUGAUUAGCUAGUUGGUGAGGUAACUGCUCACCAAGGCGACGAUCAGUAGGGGGCGUGAGAGCGUGGCCCCCCACACGGGUACUGAGACACGGACCCGACUCCUACGGGAGGCAGCAGUAAGGAAUAUUGGUCAAUGGAGGGAACUCUGAACCAGCCAUGCCGCGUGAAGGAUGACGGCCCUCUGGGUUGUAAACCGCUUUUGUCGGGGAAGAAAUACUCUGGACUAAUACUCUGGGGUGAUGACGGUACCUGAAGAAUAAGCACCGGCUAACUACGUGCCAGCAGCCGCGGUAAAGUAGUCG